CGAUUCGACAUGGUCUGAUUAUAUUGAUUGUCUUGUUUUUAGUUUUGUGAUAUAUUUUUUGUUAAUUAAAAUAUUACUUUGUUAUUGUAUUGUUUAUUGAUCUAAUUUUUUUACUAUAGGUUAUUUGUACCGUGAUGGGUAGAAAGUAUAAAUGUUUAUUUAAAAGUUGAUUUUGUUUGUUGUACCUUGUGUAUCAGGGUUCAUUAAAUUUUAUUAUUUAUUUUUAUUUCCCGAUUUUGAAGGAGUUAAUCGGCUUAUGUUAGUUACUGUUUCAUUAUUAUUAAUAAUAGGCGGUUGGUAGUGAAAUGUUAUUCGUCUUUGGUGGUUUCUGGUUUUUCAAGAAAUGAAUUUAAUUCAUACAUUUUGUUUAAAUUUUAGUUGUUGAUCUAUUUAUUUUUAUUUGAUGUUAAGAUUAAGGGGGAUUAGCUCUUUGUUUUAUUUUUAUAAUUGGUUAAUUGUUAAUUUAGUUUUGUGGAUUUUAUGUUGAUUUUCUAUUUGAUUAUGUUAAAAUUUUGUUUGUUCUUUUUUGUAUUUUUUAUUAUUUAGAUUAUUUAUUGGAAUGUUUUCUUUAUCUUUGGUUUGUGUAGUAAUUAUUAUGUAAUUAGUAAAUUUUAUUUAUUAUUUUGUUUUUAGUGAUAGGUUUAAUUGCUUUUGAGGAAUUAGGCAAAGUUUAUAUGUCCGCCUGUUUAACAAAAACAUCUUUUCUUGUUAGUUUUUGAAGUAUGGCCUGCCCACUGACUAUUGUUGAAGGGCCGCGGUAUUUUGACCGUGCAAAGGUAGCAUAAUCAUUAGUUCUUUAAUUGUGAUCUGGUAUGAAUGGCUUGACGAGACAUAAGCUGUGUCUUAUGGGUAUUGUUUAUUGAAUUUGGUUUUUGAGUUAAAAUUCUUAAAUGUUUUUAUGGGACGAGAAGACCCUAUAGAGUUUGACAUUUAUCCCAUUUAUUGGAGUUUGCUUUAUUAUUGAAUGGGAUAAGUUGUUUUGUUGGGGUGAUGAGAGGAAUAAUAUUUAACUCCUCUUUAUUUUUAUAUAUUUAUUUAUAUAUUUUCUUGAUCCAUUUAUUUUGAUUAUAAGAUUAAAUUACCUUAGGGAUAACAGCGUUAUCCUCUUUGAGAGUUCUUAUUGGCGGGAGGGUUUGCGACCUCGAUGUUGGAUUAAGGUGAAUUUUCGGUGCAGGAGCUGAAAGUGAUUAGGUCUGUUCGACCUUUAAAAUCUUACAUGAUCUGAGUUCAGACCGGCGUGAGCCAGGUUGGUUUCUAUCUAUAGAAUUGUUUUAUAUCUUAGUACGAGAGGACCGGAUAUUUGAAAUAAUUUCAUUUGUUAUAUUGGUUUUUGUUAAUAUACUGUUUUGGCAGAUAAGUGCGUUAGAUUUAGAAUCUAUU
rnacentral:rRNA from 1 species